ACUGUGGAGAGCAAAAAGAAUACGAGUAGAUAAUUUUUUUUAUCAAAAGUAUGUUCGAUGAAGCAGUAA
rnacentral:sRNA from 12 species